UACGGAGGGGGCUAGCGUUGUUCGGAAUUACUGGGCGUAAAGCGCGCGUAGGCGGUUUAGUAAGUGUGAUGUGAAAUCCCCGGGCUCAACCUGGGAACUGCCUUUGUGACUGCAAGGCUAGAGUACGGCAGAGGGGGGUGGAAUUCCGAGUGUAGCAGUGAAAUGCGUAGAUAUGCGGAGGAACACCGAUGGCGAAGGCAACCCCCUGGGCCUGUACUGACGCUCAUGCACGAAAGCGUGGGGAGCAAACAGG
rnacentral:rRNA from 1 species